rnacentral:lncRNA from 1 species
GCAGAGCCUCGCGCUGGGGUGGGGUUGCGCGCGCAGGUGAGGGGGGCGGGGCCGGCGCGACCGGCGGGGCGGGGCGGACACUCCCACCGCGCACCUGCUUCUGCCUGACGUGUACCCGGAAGGUCGUCAGCUCAGGCUCCAAAUAUGUAACAGUGAGUUUCUAAAACAGGUGGAGAGGUAUGAAGAACGAGGAACACUGCCCGGGGAGUUUCUUCCUCUGCAAAAUAAGGGAGUGUGUACUGAAUUACCGUUUCCAGCUCCAACAUCCAGGAUUUCAGCACUACCUGCAGAGUAGUGGGAGGAGAGAUAGAGGAAGAAGUGAAGAUAAGAAACCACUCGAAGCCGGUGUCUGGUGCUGGGACCGUGGUGGCUGGGACGGCAGCAGUCGUGCUGUCCAUCUGCUCUUCCGAGGGGUGGCACAUCCUAGCCUCUAUCUUUUCCCCAGAGAAGAUCCCCCUCGUCUGCUCUUCCCCCGUCUCAGCCUUUUAGUGUGUGAACAGUUCUGGUGUUACUCAGCAACGCUUUUGUUAGCGCCUUUACCAGCAAGUACUUGUUAAACACUUAAAUCUUACAAGUGGAAAGAAAAUUCCGUGGUAAAUUUAAGUACAAAAGUCAACCAAAAUUCUGAGUCUCGGACAAGACUGGUUAAAAAUCGUUCUACAAUGAAACUAAUAAAUUAAAUCAUAUAAAACUUUUA